UGAACACAAGUUGUAAGUCGUUCUGGAUAAGAGCGUCUGCUAAAUGACGUAAA
rfam:Salmo salar isolate Sally breed double haploid chromosome ssa19, whole genome shotgun sequence.